rnacentral:rRNA from 1 species
CCUACGGGGGGCUGCAGUGGGGAAUAUUGCACAAUGGGCGCAAGCCUGAUGCAGCCAUGCCGCGUGUGUGAAGAAGGCCUUCGGGUUGUAAAGCACUUUCAGCGGGGAGGAAGGCGUUAAGGUUAAUAACCUUGGCGAUUGACGUUACCCGCAGAAGAAGCACCGGCUAACUCCGUGCCAGCAGCCGCGGUAAUACGGAGGGUGCAAGCGUUAAUCGGAAUUACUGGGCGUAAAGCGCACGCAGGCGGUCUGUCAAGUCGGAUGUGAAGUCCCCGGGCUCAACCUGGGAACUGCAUUCGAAACUGGCAGGCUAGAGUCUUGUAGAGGGGGGUAGAAUUCCAGGUGUAGCGGUGAAAUGCGUAGAGAUCUGGAGGAAUACCGGUGGCGAAGGCGGCCCCCUGGACAAAGACUGACGCUCAGGUGCGAAAGCGUGGGGAGCAAACAGGAUUAGAUACCCCGGUAGUC